UUAACUCAUAUUCGUAUGGAAUGGGGUCGUUUGCGUACGUUUGCCGCUAGGGGCGCUGUUCCAACUCCAUACAAAUUUGAGUUA
rfam:Bombyx mori DNA, contig: Bm_scaf100_contig35957, strain: p50T/Dazao, build 2, whole genome shotgun sequence.